GGUCCUACGGGGCGCAGCAGUGGGGGAUAUUGCACAAUGGGGGGAACCCUGAUGCAGCGACGCCGCGUGGGUGAAGAAGCGCCUCGGCGCGUAAAGCCCUGUCAGCAGGGAAGAAAAUGACGGUACCCCUUGAAUAAGCCACGGCUAACUACGUGCCAGCAGCCGCGGUAAUACGUAGGUGGCAAGCGUUGUCCGGAUUUACUGGGUGUAAAGGGCGUGCAGCCGGAGAGACAAGUCAGAUGUGAAAUCCACGGGCUCAACCCGUGAACUGCAUUUGAAACUGUUUCCCUUGAGUGUCGGAGAGG
rnacentral:rRNA from 1 species